rnacentral:rRNA from 1 species
CAGUAGCCGCGGUAAAACGAAGGGUGCAAGCGUUAAUCGGAAUUACUGGGCGUAAAGCGUGCGUAGGCGGUUUGUUAAGUCUGCUGUGAAAUCCCCGGGCUCAACCUGGGAAUGGCAGUGGAUACUGGCAAGCUAGAGUGUGUCAGAGGAUGGUGGAAUUCCCGGUGUAGCGGUGAAAUGCGUAGAGAUCGGGAGGAACAUCAGUGGCGAAGGCGGCCAUCUGGGACAACACUGACGCUGAGGCACGAAAGCGUGGGGAGCAAACAGGAUUAGAUACCCCAGUAGUCCCUGUCUCUUAUAC